AGAGUUUGAUCCUGGCUCAGAUUGAACGCUGGCGGCGUGCUUAACACAUGCAAGUCGUGCGAGAAAGGGGGCUUCGGUCCCUGAGUAGAGCGGCGCACGGGUGAGUAGCGCGUGGAUAAUCUCCCCAGAAGUUCGGGAUAACGGCGGGAAACUGCCGCUAAUACCGGAUACGCUCCAAUUUCGGUUGGGGGAAAGGCGGCCUCUGUUUACAAGCUGUCGCUUCUGGAUGAGUCCGCGUCCCAUUAGCUUGUUGGUGGGGUAAUGGCCUACCAAGGCUACGAUGGGUAGCUGGUCUGAGAGGAUGAUCAGCCACACUGGAACUGAAACACGGUCCAGACUCCUACGGGAGGCAGCAGUGGGGAAUAUUGCGCAAUGGGGGAAACCCUGACGCAGCGACGCCGUGUGAGGGAUGAAGGCUUUCGGGUC
rnacentral:rRNA from 1 species